rnacentral:misc_RNA from 1 species
CUUCCGUAGGGUGAACCUGCGGAAGGAUCAUUACUGAGUGCGGGCUGCCUCCGGGCGCCCAACCUCCCACCCGUGAAUACCUAACACUGUUGCUUCGGCGGGGAACCCCCUCGGGGGCGAGCCGCCGGGGACUACUGAACUUCAUGCCUGAGAGUGAUGCAGUCUGAGUCUGAAUAUAAAAUCAGUCAAAACUUUCAACAAUGGAUCUCUUGGUUCCGGCAUCGAUGAAGAACGCAGCGAACUGCGAUAAGUAAUGUGAAUUGCAGAAUUCAGUGAAUCAUCGAGUCUUUGAACGCACAUUGCGCCCCCUGGCAUUCCGGGGGGCAUGCCUGUCCGAGCGUCAUUGCUGCCCAUCAAGCCCGGCUUGUGUGUUGGGUCGUCGUCCCCCCCGGGGGACGGGCCCGAAAGGCAGCGGCGGCACCGUGUCCGGUCCUCGAGCGUAUGGGGCUUUGUCACCCGCUCGACUAGGGCCGGCCGGGCGCCAGCCGACGUCUCCAACCAUUUUUCUUCAGGUUGACCUCGGAUCAGGUAGGGAUACCCGCUGAACUUAAGCAUAUCAAUAAGCGGAGGA